AUUGAACGCUGGCGGCAGGCCUAACACAUGCAAGUCGAACGAGUGGCGGACGGGGGAGUAAGGUCUGGGAAACUGCCUGAUGGAGGGGGAUAACUAAUGGAAACGGUAGCUACUACCGCCCACAAUCAGAUGUGCCCAGAUGGGAUUAGCUUGUUGGUGGGGUAACGGCUCACCACGGCGACGAUCCCUAGCUGGUCUGAGAGGAUGACCAGCCACACUGGAACUGAGACACGGUCCAGACUCCUACGGGAGGCAGCAGUGGGGAAUAUUGCACAAUGGGCGCAAGCCUGAUGCAGCCAUGCCGCGUGUAUGAAGAAGGCCUUCGGGUUGUAAAGUACUUUCAGCUGGGAGGCGUUACCCGCAGACUAAGCACCGGCUAACUCCGUGCCAGCAGCCGCGGUCCUUC
rnacentral:rRNA from 1 species